UUUCCGGUUGAUCCUGCCGGAAGCCACUGCUAUUGGGAUUCGACUAAGCCAUGCGAGUCUAUGGACUUCGGUCCAUGGCGGACGGCUCAGUAACACGUGGCUAACCUACCUUCAGGUGGGGGAUAACCUCGGGAAACUGAGGGUAAUACCCCAUAGGGGAAGAGGUCUGGAAUGAUCCUUCCUUGAAAGGACAUCCGCCUGAGGAUGGGGCUGCGUCCGAUUAGGUAGUUGGUGGGGUAAUGGCCCACCAAGCCUACGACCGGUACGGGCCUUGAGAGAGGAAGCCCGGAGAUGGGGACUGAGACACGGCCCCAGGCCCUACGGGGCGCAGCAGGCGCGAAACCUCCACAAUGCACGAAAGUGCGAUGGGGGAACCCCAAGUGCCUAUGCACAGCAUAGGCUUUUCCCAAGUGUAAACAGCUUGGGGAAUAAGGGCUGGGCAAGUCCGGUGCCAGCAGCCGCGGUAACACCGGCGGCCCGAGUGGUGGCCACUCUUAUUGGGCCUAAAGCGUCCGUAGCCGGUCCAGUAAGUCCCUGUUUAAAUCCUACGGCUCAA
rnacentral:rRNA from 1 species